rnacentral:lncRNA from 1 species
UAAUCCUUUUUAUACGACCGCAAAAUUUGAAAAAUUUUUCGUCGUAUAUUGCUAUCACGUUGGCGUCGUCGUCGUCGUCCGAAUACUUUUAGUUUUCGCACUCUAACUUUAGUAAAAGUGAAUGGAAAUCUAUGAAAUUUUAACACAAGGUUUAUGACCACAAAAGGAAGGUUGGGAUUGAUUUUUGGAGUUUUGGUCCCAACAUUUUAGGAAUUAGGGGCCAAAAAGGGCCCAAAUAAGCAUUUUCUUGGUUUUUGCACUAUAACUUUAGUUUAAGUUUAUAGAAAUCUAUGAAAUUUUGACACAAGGUUUAUGACCACAAAAUAAAGGUUGGGAUUGAUUUUGGGAGUUUGGGUUCCAACAGUUUAGGAAUUAGGGGCCAAAAAAGGGCCCAAAUAAGCAUUAUUCUUGGUUUUCGCACAAUAACUUUAGUUUAAGUAAAUAGAAAUCAAUGAAAUUUGAACACAAUGUUUAUGACCACUAAAGGAAGGUUGGUAUUGAUUUUGGGAGUUUUGGUCACAACAGUUUAGGAAUAAGGGGCCAAAAAGGGACCCAAAUAAGCAUUUUUCUUGGUUUUAGCACCAUAACUUUAGUAUAAAUAAAUAGAAAUCUAUGAAAUUUAAACACAAGGUUUAUGACCAUAAAAGGAAGGUUGGUAUUGAUUUUGGGAGUUUUGGUCCCAACAG